UCCAGACUCCUACGGGAGGCAGCAGUGGGGGAUAUUGCACAAUGGGGGGAACCCUGAUGCAGCGACGCCGCGUGGGUGAAGGAGCGUUUCGGCGCGUAAAGCCCUCUCGGCAGGGAAGAAGGAGGACGGUACCUGACUAAGAAGCCCCGGCUAACUACGUGCCAGCAGCCGCGGUAAUACGGAGGAUGCGAGCGUUAUCCGGAUUUAUUGGGUUUAAAGGGUGCGUAGGCGGAAUAUCAAGUCAGCGGUAAAAAUUCGGGGCUCAACCCCGUCGUGCCGUUGAAACUGAUGUUCUUGAGUGGGCGAGAAGUAUGCGGAAUGCGUGGUGUAGCGGUGAAAUGCAUAGAUAUCACGCAGAACUCCGAUUGCGAAGGCAGCGUACCGGCGCCGGACUGACGCUGAGGCACGAAAGCGUGGGUAUCGAACAGGAUUAGAUACCCUUGUA
rnacentral:rRNA from 1 species